AAUCAACGCUGGCGGCGUGCCUAACACAUGCAAGUCGAACGAGAAAGGGGACUUCGGUCCCUGAGUACAGUGGCGCACGGGUGAGUAACACGUGACUUAUCUACCCUCGAGUGGGGAAUAACUUCGGGAAACCGAGGCUAAUACCGCAUAAUACCCACGGGUCAAAGGAGCAAUUCGCUUGAGGAGGAGGUCGCGGCCGAUUAGUUAGUUGGCGGGGUAAGUUUGCCCCACCCCAAGACGGUGAUCGGUAUCCGGCCUGAGAGGGCGCACGGACACACUGGAACUGAAACACGGUCCAGACUCCUACGGGAGGCAGCAGUGGGGAAUUUUGCGCAAUGGGGGAAACCCUGACGCAGCAACGCCGCGUGGAGGAUGAAGUCUCUUGGGACGUAAACUCCUUUCGAUCGGGACGAUUAUGACGGUACCGGAAGAAGAAGCCCCGGCUAACUUCGUG
rnacentral:rRNA from 1 species